GAGUUAGUAGCUUAAUUGGUAAAGUACUCUCUUGUCGAGAUAGUAGAUGCCGGAUCAUGCCCGGCCUAACUCG
rnacentral:tRNA from 1 species